GAUGAACGCUGGCGGCGUGCUUAACACAUGCAAGUCGAACGAUAAAGCCCAGCUUGCUGGGUGGAUUAGUGGCGAACGGGUGAGUAACACGUGAGUAACCUGCCCUUGACUCUGGGAUAAGCCCGGGAAACUGGGUCUAAUACCGGAUAGGAGCGCCUGUCGCAUGACGGGUGUUGGAAAGAUUUUUCGGUCAUGGAUGGACUCGCGGCCUAUCAGCUUGUUGGUGAGGUAAUGGCUCACCAAGGCGACGACGGGUAGCCGGCCUGAGAGGGUGACCGGCCACACUGGGACUGAGACACGGCCCAGACUCCUACGGGAGGCAGCAGUGGGGAAUAUUGCACAAUGGGCGGAAGCCUGAUGCAGCGACGCCGCGUGAAGGAUGACGGCCUUCGGGUUGUAAACCUCUUUCAGUAGGGAAGAAGCGA
rnacentral:rRNA from 1 species